rnacentral:tRNA from 4 species
GCCGGAGUGGUGAAACUGGUAGACGCAGGGGACUCAAAAUCCCCCGCCCCCUGGGGGCGUGACGGUUCGAUUCCGUCCUCCGGCACCA